AUGACUAUAGAACUGGUGAGUAUUGCAGAUGUAGAGUAUUUAACAAACUGGAGGAGGAUACUGACAGAUAAUGUUCUUGAUUACCAGGUCGAUGGAGAUGGUGAGGAUCGGGGUGUUUCCAGGAGCUGGUGUAACGGAGUUGGAUGCAGGCAAAUAGACGUAGGACACACAUACAGGAACACACGAGGGAACUAUAGGAGAUCAAGGAUUCUUGAAUCGACAUGUCGGAUGGAGACGGUAAGAAUCAGGGUGUUUCCACGAGCUGGUGUAACAUAGUUGGAUGCAGUAUCCCAACUUUUUUGGAAUCGGGUUUGUAGAUGUAGGGCACGCACAGACCCGCACGCACACACACACGCGAGGGAACCACAGGAGAUCAAGGAUUCUUGAAUCGACAGGUAAGUAAUACCGCAUAGGUUUGAGUCAUUUUCCACAUUGGAGACCAAACCAUGUGGCUGUGUGAACUGUGUGUUCUUAUAGUGCUGUGCUGGUGAUUAGUGAAUGACAGUCAGGUGUGCGUGUUCAGUAUUCCGGUGAUUGUGAGCGCUGAUAGGUGAGAGAGCCUGGCGUGUCUGUGACACUCACAUGUUUGUCCCAGACCUGUAUUAAUUUCUUUCUUGUGCUGAAUACAAAAUAAUAUUUUGAAGAAUGUGGAUAUCCAAACAGUAGCUGGUCCCCAUUGAUUUUGAUAGUAGGAAAAAAUACCAUGGAAGUCACUGGGGACCAACAACUGCUUGGUUAAUCACAUUUUUCAAAAUAACUUCAAAAGAAGUUAUUCAGGAUGUUCAACAGAAUGUUUAACAUAAUGUUUAAUAGAAGAAAGAAAGAAACAAAUUCAGGUUUAAAACAACUUGAGAAUGAGUAAAUGAUGGUAUAAAAAAAACUAUUAAUAGACGGAUGACAGAAUUUUCAUUUUUGGGGGGAAAAAUUAUUUUAAUGUUAAUAAAACAAAAAGAUAUCACUCA
ensembl:lncRNA